AGGGUAAAUCAUUAUGGUGAGCACAGAAUUAUUCUGGGGUGCAAUAUGACACUUACUCUGAACCUGAGGGAAAAGGUCAUUUAAUCUGUUUUAGCUCCAGAUGCCUCUUCUAUAACUGCUAUCUCUAAAAUGGAGAUAACAAUACUUUCUACCUCACAGAAAUAUUGUAAAGAUUAAAUGAGAUAAUGAAUUUGAACCAUUUAGCCCAGUUCCUGGAAACAAAUGUUAGCUCCUAACAAUAAUAAAAAUAACAAUACAAUGCCUUGCCACCUAUGAAAACUGCUAAGUGGUUCUGGAAAUUUACCAACCUGCUUUCAAGAGGGGCUCUGACUCCGCUCAUGGUACACUUGUUUGAAAUUUUUCAAAAAGAAUUUAUCUGUAUGCUUAAAUGCUACAAGCAUCACACUUGGGUACUCUGGCCAGCAUCCUUAAUUUUAGGCUGGUUCUAGGUGAACGAAGCCCAUGGCCUUGGUUAACUAUCACAGCAGAAAAAUGGUAAGAAGGAAACUCGAUUGGAAGGAAUCUGUCCAGAUGUUUAUUUCCCUUCAUUUAGGUCCAUAUAACAUAUAGAUCAAAUGCUCAGAGCUAUUAGGAGCAGAGAAAAAUGCCAGAAUCGAUGCUGCAACACAUUUUGCGUUCACCCUGAAUUAAUGCCUCUAUAUAAAUGUUGUUGCUGAUUUAACUUCUUGUUAACGGCCUUAAAUGUUUGACCCGUAUCUUUGCCUGCUUGAAUACAGGAAAAUCUACAUCAUGGAUUUCCCUGUAGAGUCAUGAGACAGGAAUGUGCAAAGCCAAAAGAGACAGCUGGGAAGUGUAGCAGAAGUGAGUGACCCUGCCCUUCUUGGGAGGUCAUCCUUGGAGAAAAAGCUGACACCCUCACAUCACAAAAUGUAACUACCACCCAAGUGAGAUCUGUUACUCCUCACCAAAAAUUAAGGUGGAGUUUCUUUCUAAAGGAUAGAGAAAUUUUGGAGACUUGAUUUCUUUUUCUUUCUUCUGCCUUUGGGACAACUUCAAUGUAAUUACUGAAAGCAUGAAAAAAUCAACUUUGGGUUUUCAGACAUGUAUCUUAUUGUGACUGCCCAUUGUUUCCAAAUUUGAUUCACUGGAGAUGUUAGUGGGUGAUUCAUAAAAAAGAGAGAGACAUGGCAUGUUAGCCACGUUGGAUAUACACAAUACAUAUUUAUAUAUGAAAAGGUCUAAAAGUCCCACAGUAAAGCAAAAUUUUAAAAUUUGUACACAACCCUAUAUUUACUUAAUAUAUUUAAGUAAGAAACACCUUUUUUUUUCAGGUAACACCCUUGACGUCACGAUUUGUUUGGAUGCAAUUCUAUUUCAUGUUGAACCAUUAACAUGGAAUGGAAUAAAAUAGAAUGGCUAUAAUUUACUGAGUGCUUAAGGACAGUCUUUAUUAAAAGCAAUUGGAUUAAUAAUCUCUGAAUUGUCAUGAAUCUGCAAGUGUCCAGGAUUUCACAUGAAGAAGAUGAGAGAAGACAACUCAGAGCGUGGAGUGACUUCCCUUCAUUUUAAGUGAGCCAGUCCUCAGAAAAUUUCCUGGGUAUUAGUGUUUCUGCUCAAGACACGAGCUUAUUAGAAAUAAAAAAUAGUUUAUUAGAAAUAAGAAAUAGCUUAUUAGAAAUAAAAAAUAGCUUAUUAGAAUGAAAAUGAUGUUUAAAAGGACUAAUAACUUCUUAAGAUGAUGUAACUUUUAAUAGACAACAUGUCAACUGUGUUAGGUGCAUCUCUGUAAAAUAUUCUGAGAUGUGAAGCUUGUUAAUAAAAUUACAGCACAACUCAAUUUGACACAAAUGCCACAUGAUAUCAAAAAAACCUGAGAGCCUAUAGGACCAAGCAAAGUAUUUGUGCAGUACCCUUAACUAUUCAUCUCAUCUUUUCAUAUACAAACAAUACAAAUAAGAAGACUAGAGGAAAAUUAGAGAGCAAUUUCCAUUAGGGAUUGCCAAUAAAGACACAUCCCUGAUAGGAAAACAAAUCAAAACAAAACAAAACAUAUUCUGGUAUUUAAAGAGAAGUCCCAAGGAUGACAUUUUCCCUUGAUACGUAUCCUCAGCCACUCAGUGCUAAACUCUUUACCCCUGACUCGCCUCAGUAGUGAGACUUGGGUACUUCAUUAUUCAGGUCGCCUUUAUCAUCCUCCAGAAAGCUCAGGUUAGCAUGGGGGCAGGGGAGGGAGAUGUUCCUUAAAUGAAUGUCUGUGACGAGACCAGAAUUUGUGAUUAUACUUUGGUUUGAAGAAUAUCCAUGCAUCCUAUAAACACACUAUUGACAUAGCACCUACUUUUGUAAAGGUAGAGAUGAUACAGUUUUUGUAAAUGCUACUGUCUUCAGAAGGAUGAUGGAAACCUGAAGGUACUAUCCACAUCUAGCAAAUGUUAUCUUGGAAUCUUUUUCUUUAUAUCUUAUUCUUUUUCACCAAUAAGCAUGAAUCAUCUUCUCUUGCUGUUUCCUUUCCUUGUCUUUUUUAUUACAAAAUUAAAAAUUACUGAACAGUUGCCCAAAACACUGUAGAUUUCAUAUCUUGUUUGGGCUAAUUAUAUCAUCUGGCCUGCCAAAAUGGUUUCAUUAAUGAGCUUACAUUGCAGGAGCUUUCUAAUCAAUUCUUUGACACUAAAUGAAGGACCCCACCCAUAUUUAAGGAUCUGAAGCCUGAAGCAGAGAGCAGCUUCUAUGUGGAGGGUAGGUUGUUAGAGCUCUAGGCAAUCUGAUGCCUACAUCUCUCCCCACCUCUGCUGUUGUGGCUGCUUUGUUAUUACUUUGAAUUGUGGAAAGACUCUCUGUGGUUCCCCAGCCUCAAUUUUCUUCUUGGGUCCUAUGAUCUCAGACCUGUUGCUGGUAGUGGCUUCAAAACCAUUUGAGGAUUCCAUAUCUAUUCACAGACAAGGUGUUCCAGGCUACGCUAUGGAAGUCAACUUUGUGGGAUUGAAACGUUAAGCUGGAAUCCUUUCGACUUUUAUGAAUGCAAGAGCUUGUCAGGUGGAGAAGCCAUUCAGUGAACAUGAAGUGACAAAUAUGAGGAUGAAAGCCUAUAUAGUCAGGACAGCUAAGGAGACAGCUUCAGGAGGAUGCUCCACCAUUGAUGAAGGAAGGGUCAAGAGUGAAGAAGGGAUGCUCCAUGUGGCAAUGUGACACCAAUUUUCCACGACGGGGAGGAAAAAGUCCAGUAGUUGACAAUGAAUAGGAUGCCACAACCUCUUGAGUGAAAGGUAACCUGUAUGGUGGACUCUCAAUCUCUGUAUACUCAUAAGAGAUCCACAGGGGAACAUAAAGAGAGAAGUAAAAUGUGUUCAGAAGUUUAAGAUUCUCCAAGGUUUAAGCUGGUCAGUUGAUCAGUCAAAGGAUGAAGAUUCAGUUUUACAAGACAAGAAUUAAGAAGUUUUACUUACAUAUACGAAGUUGCAUUGGAUUACGUUUCAUUACCAUAAAAAUAGUCAUAAGACUAUCAAGUAGUUUAAUGAUAAUGUAGUCUAUAUUGUGUUCUGUAACCUUUACACAGCUUGUGCCUGAAUUGCUCCUUUGAAUCGUCACAAAGUCUCAUGAUAUAGGCAGGGCAGAUAUGAUGGGAAUUUUUUCAGUUGAGAAAACUGCAGUCUAGAGAGGUUAAAUGAGGCCCAGAAAGGCCAAGCCACAUAUCAAAAUACCUACAAUAGCCUGGCAGGUAUAUAAAUGUGUGAAUAAGCUUACCAUAAUAAAACAGGGAAUGAUGGGGCUUGAGGCAAAAUUUGAGAACAUAUGACCCAGCAAAAAGCAUUACAAUUCUAAAGGCUUAAAAAAACAUGUUGCCAAACAGUACAUGUUUGUGGGGGAAGAUUUCACUCUCAGAAAACCAAAUCACUCUUUCUUGUAGUCAGUGAAACUAGUCUCCUCUUCUGACUUUUUCAGCUCAACUGAAUUCUGUGAAUAGCUAUUCAAAUCUUUCUCUAUGUCAUAGUCUCUGCCCUCCAAGUGUUUAAAAUGUGAUUGGGCAUUGACAACAUGGCUAUCAGGUGUGAUUAUGUGGGUUGCACCUUGAGCACCUCUAGAAGAGAGAAGCCAUUCACAUUGCAAGCUAAGUGAAUUGAGUUGGGCAGUGCUCAAUACACAAUGGCCCCCAACUACCCUGGUUGGUUAUAUUCCUGGUAUAUAAGAAAAUUAAGUAAAGUAAAAGUCAUAAAAGAGUAGUAAGUGCUAGAAAAGCCAAAAGGAAAGAGUUUGCAGGCUAUUGGCGAGUUCCAUGCUCUUCGCUCUUUGGGCAAUGACUAAUCCUGCGUGACCCUGCUUCUUCCAUAAAGCCCCAGGCAAUGCAAGGAGUGUCAUAUGGACUUCUGUGAGCAUCUGUGAGGAUGCUACUCCUUCCAAAUCUGGAUUUCUUAGCUUCACAGUCAUUUUGUUCUUUCACCUUCUUCUCUUCUGGGUUCCUACCAAGCCUGGACUUCUGCAUUUCAAAUACUGGAUAAAUUUAAAAAAUGCAUUAAGGAGAAUGGGUUGGGGAAGGAACAAGCUCUGAUAAAUUACCAACGAGUCAUUUAUUAUGAUAUCCUCAUGAAGAGAAAAAAGAGGUCUACUCAGGAAAAAUGUUAGAGAUCUUUAGCUGUAUGUUCUCCUGAGAAACCUUCAUAAAAGAAGACUCAGUGGUGAGCAGCCCUGGGUUUACGGUCUUCUCAGGAUAACAUUUCAGUAAAGGUGAUUGAGAUAUAUCAGUUUAAAGGGCCCAGGACAAGAAACUUGUGGGCUCACUGACAUAUUAAGCAUUUAUUCAGUAGCUCAAUGGGUGGAUCAAAUGUAAGGUUAGGAAUGUUCUGCUCUGAUUGCCUAGGAGUUUCUUUCUCUCUCUUUCUCUCUCUCAAAUAAAAAGAGGAAAUGCUUGUCUUUUAAGUAUUCUGCUUCUCUUCCACAUAUGCAUAUAUAAUCAUAUUCCUAAAAUUACCAUAUUCCCUUUUCAAAUAAAGGAAGAAAACCUAGCUUGAAUUUUAAGAAAUCUUUUAUGAAAAUGGAUAAAUGUUUUGAAAAUAGCUGUGUUUAACAGCUUUAGACAGAUACAUUGCAGUUAGGCUGAUACAGGUCAGUUGGUAGGUCUCAUGUUGGGGAGAUAAUCAGUUUUAAGAUGAGUUUUUCCGGAAAAUCAAAACUGCCUUGGAAGCUCAUUCUCCACCUCCUUGCCCAUCCUUCCCAAAUCAGGAAACAUUUCCUAUCCUAUUACAAUAGUUAUCAGUUGGCUUCCUUAAUCUCAUUGUUUUGUGAACCCUAGAUUUUUAGGUUACUGAAACAGAGGGAAGUGAAAAAUGGUUUAGCAGUGACCAAGAAUAAAAUGCAAGCCCACAGGUGUCAUUUCAGGGUCUCCUAACUGUCCUCAACUCAUGAGAUUGACAUUACACUUUUUAAGUAAAGUUUCCACAAUUGCCUUUUCUUCACAAACACAUAAAAUUGUGUGUGCCUCUGAUAUGGUUUGGCUGUGUCUUCACCCAAAUCUCACCUUGAAUUGUAAUAAUCCUUACAUGUCAAGGGUGGGGUCAGGGUGAGAUAACUUAAUUGUGGGAGUGAUUUCCCCCAUACCAAUCUCAUGAUAGUGAAUAAGUCUCAAGAUAUCUGAUGGUUUUAUAAACAGCA
rnacentral:lncRNA from 1 species